UUUCAAAACACUUCUUGGCCAAAAGUCAAUAGUUGCACUUGGAUUGCUUUUCUUUUUGUCUUUGUAUCCUUCAAGCUUGCCUUCGACUUGCUGAUUGUACCUUCAAGCUUGUCAUUGCAAUCUUUGAGCUCUACGCAAGGUCAAGAAAAGUUGUGGAAGGUUCUCUUUGAGUUUCCACAAGGCAAGCACUCUCUCAGCCGGUAAAUUCUUGUUGUAUUCUGAUGCUUUGAGAUUUUUAUACUCUGUUUUCCUUGGUUGGAUCAAAUUGUUGUCUUUGAUGUUUCAGUCCUCGUUCGCCAAUCACUGAUUACAUUCUGUCUUUGGUGAAAGUUAAUCACUAAAAUUAACUUUUUUCUGCUUGGUUAAAUAAGCUAGGAUUUAACUAGUACAAUGUGGAUGAGCAACUAAUGACAAUGACUUUAGGGAAGUGUUAAUUUUCACAAUGGGACUACGUAUAGCAAUGUUUUAAUGUUAAGUAGAUUCUCAUUACCUAUUUAUUAGUAGCUGGGAAUAUUACUCAUAAAAAGCUGGAACAGAUAUGUAGCGAAACACUUUUCAACACCAAAAAGUUAUGAAGCAAUAUUUAUUGGGCUAUUGGUAUUGGCAUGAUCUAUACCACGCAAACGAAAUGAGAAAAUGCACAACUUCUAUAAAUUACUUUAUUCGUAGAAAUGAUAGAAAUAUGUAUAUUCUUAUUCUCCCAUGUGUCAUGUUAUUCCAUCAUCUGUUCAGGGCCCUAAAAAUACGUAAGUUGAAAAAAGUUUAUUUCAUGAUAUUAUUCAAAGUCAUAAUGGUCUUAUGAUAUUCCGAAAGANNNNNNNNNNNNNNNNNNNNNNNNNNNNNNNNNNNNNNNNNNNNNNNNNNNNNNNNNNNNNNNNNNNNNNNNNNNNNNNNNNNNNNNNNNNNNNNNNNNNNNNNNNNNNNNNNNNNNNNNNNNNNNNNNNNNNNNNNNNNNNNNNNNNNNNNNNNNNNNNNNNNNNNNNNNNNNNNNNNNNNNNNNNNNNNNNNNNNNNNNNNNNNNNNNNNNNNNNNNNNNNNNNNNNNNNNNNNNNNNNNNNNNNNNNNNNNNNNNNNNNNNNNNNNNNNNNNUAUACGCACCACCACCUGAUCAGCUGGUAUACAAUGGUGAUGUUGCCCACAGUGGCUGAAAUAUGACUCAGACGGCGGUAUAUACGCAUAUAUAUGUAUAUAUAUGUAGUGUGGGAGUAUGGAAAAAAGGUAACGACGUUAUAUAUGCAUCACCACCUGAUCAGCUGGUAUACGUUGAUGAUUUUGCCCACAACGGCUGAGAUGAUAUGAUGGGAUGCCCUCAGAGGAUUGACGAUAUUAUGUACGUACAGACUUAUGCAUUACAUGACAUAUACACGCAUAUGCAUGACCUUAUGAAUAUUUCAUGAUUUACAUAGCUAUCCAGAUUUACAAGUAUAGAUAAUCAGUUUGACGAGCCCUCAUAGUAGACGAGAUUGGCAUUCAGCGAACGAUCAGUAAGACUCCACCUCAUUCGGAGUGCAGCCGAGUCUAUGAGUCACCGUGUUAGAGUUUUUCUACAGAUCUAUAGAAGGCCGGCACCCUGUCCCAUUUGAUGUCGAAAAAUCCUAGAGGCUUUAUAGACAAAGGUUCAGUUUGUACAGUAUGUCAAAGGCCUUGACGACCCAUAUAUAUUCAUGUUUUAAGAAAAAUGGUUUAGUGAUACGACAUUUUCCAUUUAAAAUUUUAUAUUAUGAGUUGUGGCCAUGUUGGCCCAUGAUAGUUAUAAAAAGGAAUGAAUGAGUUAUAGAGUGGUUCGCUCGGGCUACUAUGGCACCGGGUGCCAGCCACGCCUCCCCAGGGUUCCCCCAAUGCUUUGAAGUUAAAAUUGGAAGAAAUAAGUCAAAAACCAACAAAGGUAAAAUAAAGUUAAAAAGGGUUAAGUCCUACGUGACCAACCGUCAUGGCAAAGUUUGGAAAAGUCCAAUGGUUCUCCGGGUCCAGAAGGGCAAUCGAUAUUCAGGAAAUAACCAGACGUAGUUGAAAUCAUCGUCAAAAGAAGAUUGGCCGAGAUCAAGUGACUGAAAUACUCAAGGCCACAAAAUCAACCACCAUUUCAAACUAACAAGUGUUCUUUGUUUGAAAAAUAGGAAACGGGUGCAAUCCAAAAGCGACUUUACAAGAAGCAGGUACAACCAAAAGGAAACUGCGCGAGGGUUAGAAACAACUAUGUAGCAGUAAAAACUCCAAAAAGGGAAGUCUUAUCCAAGUUCUUUCCCGCAUUUUUCUCAUUCUCUUAAUAAAAAGAAGAGAGAAAAGAAAGAAAGUUUAAAACCAUGGUAGUAUAGGGUACACCAAUCCCUAGCUGCAUUUUCCAACAUAAGGUCUCCACUCCCUAGUUGAUGUUAUUUUAGACAUAGGGUCUCUGCUCCCUAGUCUCCUUUUCCAAUAUAGGUUCUCCACUCCCUAGUAUGUUUUUCCAACAUAGGGUCUCCACUUCCUAGUUGAUAUUAUUUUAGACAUUGGAUCUUCACUCCCUAGUUGAUGUUAUUUUAGACAUAGGAUCUCCACUCCCUAGUCUUCUUUUCCAACAUAGAAUCUUCACUCCCUAGUUGAUGUUAUUUUAGACAUAGGGUCUUCACUCCCUGGUCUCUUUUUCCAACAUAUGGUCUCAACUCCCUAGUUGAAAUUAUUUUAGACAUAAGGUCUCCACUCCCUAGUCUCUUUUUCUAACAUAGGGUCUCCACUCCCAAGUUGAAGUUAUUUUAGACAUAGGGUUUCCACUCCCUAGUUUCUUUUUCCAACAUAGGGUCUUCACUGCCCGAUUGAUUUUAUUGCAUACAUAGGGUCUCCACUCCCUAGUUUCCUUUUCCAACAUAGGGUGUCCACUCCCUAGUUGAUGUUAUUUUAGACAUUCGGUCCCCACUCCCUAGUUGAUGUAUUUCAGACAUAGGGUUUCUACUCCCUAGUCUUCUUUUCCAACAUAGGGCAUCCACUCCCUAGUUGAUGUUAUUUCAGAUAUAGGGUCUCCACUCCCUAGACUCCUUACCAGUAUAGGAUAUACCGAUCCCUAGAUGUGUUUUCCAAUUUAAGGUACAUCAAUCCUUCGAUGAGGCACCAUUUUGGUAAUCAGGGUACACCAUUCCCAAUCAUGUUUUUCUAGGAUGCACCAAUCCCGACCUUUUAUUGCUUUUAAUAAUGAAGUAGUAUAGAGAUUUAUUAUAAAUAACUCACGAAAUUUUCUUAGUGAAACUGGAGUAGAAAAUGUUGUUCGUUUAUUUGUUUUGGUGUCUAAGUAGGUUCACCUCGAGGCACGGGGUUCGAGAUGACCAAGAGAAGAAGUCUCAAUCCAAAAUAAAGAAAAGAAAAGAAAAGAAAAAGGUGAAUCCAAAAUGCAGAAGCGGAUGAAAGGAUGUAGACUGCACAAGACAUGACUAAAGGCACGAGCAUCGCAUUUUCCGUUUAGAUCAGAAAGAAGCUUUAGAAGAAUUAACUAACACCUGUAGCUUGCAAGCAUCAUGAUUCAGAUUAGAUUCUGCAUAAAGAACCGGUCAAGGCUCAAGAUCAAGUUUCAAGAAACUUAUAGAUAGGAAUCUUGUAACUCAUAGCUGAUAGGAUUGUUUAGUUUCUUUUCAUUUUGAUUUGGUGUAAUAAGGAGUUCAGCAAGCAGCAACAACAGUGAAGUCACAACCUUUUGGUAGUCCCAACUAUCAAAACAUCCAGAACUAUAUUGACCUGAUUCUUUUGUAGCCAAGGAUGUGUAGGCAACCUCCGAAGCAAGGUUCGGUCAAAGUUUUAUAAAAUGUUUUCCAUAGGGUAUCAAAUGGGAAAAUAUUACUCAUAAUUGCUCACUUUAUCUUUGCCCGAAAACUCUUCAUGCUUUCGAGCAAAAAGGAAAAGUUGUGGGCACGUAAUUUUUGCCCUGCCUAAAUUACUCCUUAAAAAUUUACAAAAAUAAUUCUUUCUUGGUGUUUUUUUUUCAUUUUUAGAAUCUCUAGGAAUUUCUCUUUAUUCGUUUUUUUGAAUUUAUUUUCAUUUAUUUGCAUUCAUGCUUAUGUAGAAAUAUUUUAAAAUCUUUAAAAAAUCCUGAAUUUUUUUAUCUUUCACAUUUUGCAUUUUAGAUUUUAAUUGCAUUUUUAGGAUUUAAUCACAUAUUAACUUCAUAGUUAAUAAUUGAAAAUCAUAAAAAAUUAAAUCACAUUAGCUUAUUUCUUUGGCAUGUUGGUAAUUAAAUAGUUCAAUUUUAAUUUAAAUUAGUUUAAUUGCUAAUUAGGUCAUUUUCGCAAAAUAGUUUUAAUUUGGUUAAGUUUGAAAAAUUAAAUAAAGAGUAAUGGGGUUGUUCUCUUUAGGCUCUGAAAUUGGGCCAGCUUCAGGCGGCCCAAAACCCCUCAAGCCCGUCCAACCCCCUCCCAUUAUCUUGCCCAGACCCCUACUAAAUCUUAACGACACCGUUUUUGUCACGUUCAAUCUCCACCGUCUAUCCCCUCUAGUCCAAUGGAUGGGAACUCAUCACCCCUUUCCUUAUAGUUGUCUGAACUGCCCCCCAAACCCUAGAAACCAUUUCUAUUCUCCAGCUCCUUCAUCACCUAACGCUAGCAGUUACACCACCAGAGCCAUCUCUAGCGGCUCACCUCCAAAUACCCUCAAACCUUCACCAAAUAAACCUCACCUCCCCCUCUCCUAAAAUCCCAUAACCAUUCCCGUCAAAUAUCCUUAGAACUGCUCAAUUUUGAAAUCUAAAAAAAAGUCUGAAAAACCUAGGUUUGUCUCUUUUCUAUUUUUUCAUGAUUUUUGAUUCGUUUUGGCUCAAACUCAUGUGAAUAGAUUGCUCUUAACACGAUCAAUUGUUUUAUGUUAUUUUGGUUCAUUUCGAAGUCAUCGGACCAUUGUCAAACGGCCACUAACGGGACAAACCUCGCUAAAGAUCGUUUUAUUGCUUCGUCUUUCUUUCAAUAGGUAUACCCUCACCUCAUUCUAUCAUAUUUUCAUUUUUGUUGGUUAAAAACAGUGUGUUAAUUAUUUAGGCAUUUAAUCAAAAAAUAUUUUUAUUUGUUUAAUUUAGUUUUAACCAGAAUAGCUUAGUUCAUAAAUUAACCAUAGCUUUGCAUCCAAGUUUGUUAAUUACUUUUUUACAUGAUUAGAGUAAAUAAUUAAAUGCAUGAUUAGCAGUUUCAAUUAUAUGAUAAUUAGUCUAAUUGUCUAAGUUUAGGUUAAUUGGUCCAGAUUUAAUUUGAUAUUGAAGCAGGUUAUUGAUUCAGGUUUUGCAUAUUGUUUGUUUUAGUCCGUUUGCUCUUUUGGUACGGUUUAUUUGUAAUUACAAGAAGUUUAAGAGGUUAAGGGAAUAUGGAAAUUAGAGAAUCUUAAAUGGUUAUGUAGGAGGUUUCUAGAAGGGAUUAAAAUGCAAUAAAAAAGGAAAUUAGGUGAAAAUUGGGGUAAAAGGGGUAAAAUUCAGAAGUUAAGGAGGGGGGGAAAGGAUAAGGAAAGAAUCAUCCGAAUGCGAUAACCGUCCAUUUCUGUUAAAAAUCCUCUUUCCCUUUUUAAAGAGGCUUACAGAUUCUCCUACACCCUCUAUCAUUCUCUAAUACAACAUACCUUCACCUUCCAUAUAAGGACACACAUUCCUUCACUCACACAGACACUAAUUUCUGCAUUUUCAAACAACAUAUUCCUCUCAUUUGAGACUGAUUUCUGCACUUUUCAGAUAAUUCUCUUAUUGUAACAAUCCUGCCAGUCAUUUCAUGAGUUACCGCUCCAUUUCCCCCCAUUAUUUAUUUCUUUAUGUAUUGUUCAGCUGUAUUAUGUCGUAUUGGGAUUGUUGGUUCGGGUUUGGUGUGGUUUUGUAGCGAAAUGAGACACUUAGUCUCUUUUGAGCAAGCUUAAAUUGGAAAAGUCAACCGAAUAUUGACUUAUGUAAAAAAGGUCUUGGAUGUGAAUUCCGAUGUUUUGGAUAGAUUCAUUAGAUGAUUUGAGACUUAGAAGCAUAAUUGGAAUGUAUUUUGGAGGUCCGCGGUAGAUUUAGGCUUGAGUUGGCGAAAUUGGAAAUUUGGCAUUUUCCGGCCGGUAGUGAAAAUUUUGAUAUCGGGGUCGGAAUAGAAUUUCGAAAAUUAGAGUUGGUCUGUUGUGUCAGUUGUGAUGUGUGUGCAAAAUUUUAGGUCAUUCGGGUGAGGUUUGAUAUACUUUUUGAUCGUUUGCGGAAUUCGGAUGUUCUAGAAUCUUUAGGCUUGAAUACGAGGGUGAUUUGAUGUUUUGAUGUUGUUUUGAGUGUUUCGAAGGUUGGAAUAAGUUUGAAUGAUGUUAUGGGAUGUGUUGGCAUGUUUGAUUGAGGUACGGAAGGCCUCGGGUAUGUUUCGGAUGCUCAACGGGUUAUUUUUGGACUUGAGGACUUAGUAGAUUUUGCUGGUUUUCUGUUGCAAAGAUUUUGUUCAUCGCAUUCGCGAAGGGUGUCUCGCAUUCGCGAAGAGUGUCUUCUGUGGUGGUGGAUUUUUUCUACGCAUUCGCGAAGGAUUGGACGCGAACUCAAAGAUUAAGGCAUCAUGUGCAUCGAGGACGCGUGAGUGGGGUAGCAUUCGCGAAGAGGAGUGAGGCAGUUGGGGACCCCAGGUCUUUGGUCUAUGCGUUCGGGAGGCGAGGUCCGCGUUUGCAAAGGAUUGAGUUGGUUAAGCAUCACAUUUAGGAAGAAGUUAUCGUGGUCGCGAAGGGUUAAGCGGAGGCAGUCUAAGUUUGGCCAACGUUAACACGAGAGGACGGUUGCUUUAGCGAUGAAGAGAGUACCUGGGCAAAAUGUAUAAAAACCCAUCUUCGCGAUUUUUAGCCCAUUUCUCACAAUUUUUGAACGUCUUUGAAGCUUUUUGAGAGGAUUUGAAGAGGGAAUCGAAGGGAAAUAUUUGGAGGUAAGGUUUUUGAACUCAAUACUCGAUUCUAUGGUAAUUUCUAACUAUUUAUACAUGAAAUUAAUGGGAUUUAAGGCCUAAAAUUGGGGAUUUAGGGCUUCAAAUUGGAGAGUGUAAUCUGGGGAUUUGAGGGGUCAUUUGAGGUCCGAUUGUGAUGUUCUUGGUAUGUAUAUACUCGUGGGAGGAUAAAGAUUCUAUUAAUGUAAUUUUUAUCGUAUUCCGAGAUGUGGACCCGACGGUUGGGUUUGGCCAAUUUCGGGAUUUUUUAGUCAAUUUGAUUAUUUUCGCUUAGGAUUUGUUCCUUUAGCACGUAUUAAUGGUAUGAUACUGGUUUUGGUUAGAUUUGGAGCAUCAGGAGGCCGCGUUGAGAGGCAAAGGCAUCGUUGGAUGAAGUUUGGACCGGAUUGAGGUAAGUAAUGAUUGUAAAUGUUGUCCUGAGGGUAUGAAACCCCGAAUUUCACAUCGUGGUGCUAUUUUGAGGUGACGCAUGCUAGAUGCCGAGCAUGGGGUCGUGCACCGUUGGGGAUUGUGACUUGGUAUCCCAUACGACUGUUAAGUCGAGUAUUUGAUUUAAAACUGUUUGAUAUCAUUGUGUUUUGGAAAGUAUUACCAUGUUUUGGGUUGAAUGCCAUAUUUGGGCCUCGUGCCAACUGUUUUUGGACCCUUAGGGGCUUUUUACUACUAUUUCUCACUGUUUUGACUUAAUAUCUAUACUCAGUUAUGUUGUAUUCUACUGUUUUAAUAACUCCGUCCUAUUUACUCCGUUUUGAUAUUUUAAAAGAUAUUUUGGGCUGAGCAUCAUGUUUUACUGUUGCCCGAGUGGCUUGAGAGGUUUCUGACUGAGUGAGGCCGAGGGCCUGUGUUGUGAGGAUACUAUGGGAUUGGGCUGCGCGCCGCAGCAUGUUGUAUUGAUUUGUAAUAUAUGAGAGGUUGAGGGCCUGAUUCGUUAUGCCAUGAGAUGACUUGUGAUAGCGCUUGGGCUGUUGGAGCCCCUUCGGAGUCUGAACACCCCUAGUGAGCGCGAGUACCCAGUGUAAGUGAUGUGAUAUUGCCCGAGGGGCUAUUGUUGUUUCAUGUUGUUGCCUGAGGGGCUGAUUAUGAGUGAUUGUGAGGUAUCCUGAGGGACUAGUUCUGUUGAUAUUUUGCCAAAUGGGCGGUUUAUUGUACAUGUUUUGCCCGAGGGACUAUUUACGUUUCUAUCCUUUUACUCACCAUUUUCAUUACUCGUUUGAAACUAUUGAAAGAUGCUUUAAAAUGGUUUUACUGAACUGAGUUGUUUUACGAG
rnacentral:lncRNA from 1 species